CCAGACUCCUACGGGAGGCAGCAGUGGGGAAUAUUGCACAAUGGGCUAAAGCCUGACGCAGCAACGCCGCGUGAUCUAUACGCCCUUCGGUGUGUAAAGAUCUGUCAGUGGGGACGAAACUUGACGGUACCCACAGAGGAAGCACCGGCUAACUCCGUGCCAGCAGCCGCGGUAAUACGGGGGGUGCAAGCGUUGUCCGGAAUCAUUGGGCGUAAAGCGUUCGUAGGCGGUAAAGUAAGUCAGAUGUUAAAGCCCGGGGCGCAACUCCGGUUCGGCAUUUGAUACUACUUGACUAGAAUGCGGUAGAGGGAAAGGGAAUUCCUGGUGUAGCGGUGAAAUGCGUAGAUAUCAGGAGGAACAUCGGUGGCGAAAGCGCUUUACUGGGCCGUUAUUGACGCUGAGGAACGAAAGCCAGGGUAGCAAACGGGAUUAGAUACCCUCGUAGCG
rnacentral:rRNA from 1 species